rnacentral:tRNA from 4 species
GCCCGGAUGGUGGAAUCGGUAGACACAAGGGAUUUAAAAUCCCUCGGCGUUCGCGCUGUGCGGGUUCAAGUCCCGUUCCGGGUACCA